rnacentral:rRNA from 1 species
GGAUGAACGCUGGCGGCGUGCCUACUCCAUGCAAGUCGAGCGAACAGACGAGGAGCUUGCUCCUCUGACGUUAGCGGCGGACGGGUGAGUAACACGUGGAUAACCUACCUAUAAGACUGGGAUAACUUCGGGAAACCGGAGCUAAUACCGGAUAAUAUAUUGAACCGCAUGGUUCAAUAGUGAAAGACGGUUUUGCUGUCACUUAUAGAUGGAUCCGCGCCGCAUUAGCUAGUUGGUAAGGUAACGGCUUACCAAGGCAACGAUGCGUAGCCGACCUGAGAGGGUGAUCGGCCACACUGGAACUGAGACACGGUCCAGACUCCUACGGGAGGCAGCAGUAGGGAAUCUUCCGCAAUGGGCGAAAGCCUGACGGAGCAACGCCGCGUGAGUGAUGAAGGUCUUCGGAUCGUAAAACUCUGUUAUUAGGGAAGAACAAAUGUGUAAGUAACUAUGCACGUCUUGACGGUACCUAAUCAGAAAGCCACGGCUAACUACGUG